rnacentral:rRNA from 1 species
GACAGAGGGGGCAAGCGUUGUCCGGAUUUACUGGGCGUACAGCGCGCGCAGGCGGUGGGGCAGGUACCUGGUGACACACUCGCGCUCAACGCGAGGGGGUCUGGGUAAACCGCCCGACUGGAGGCAGGGAGAGGGACGUGGAAUACCCGGUGGAGCGGUGAAAUGCGUAGAGAUCGGGUGGAACACCAGUGGCGCAGGCGGCGUCCUGGCCCUGGCCUGACGCUGAGGCGCGAGAGCGUGGGGAGCGAACGGG